CACCUUCAAAGGUUCAAAUUCUCUCUUCACAAGCUCUAACAGUGGUUUUCGUGACGGUUGGCUCAAUCUUACGAUCUUCUACGAAAACUCAAUAGCCGGUGAUAUCUUUAUAUUUACGGGAGCUAACGACGACAACUAUGACGUUUCUCUAAGCUUUAAUUAUAUGCAAAGAAAGCAAAAGUAUAUCAUAAAAUGGACAAGCUUGGGUCUGAAUUGAUUGUGGACGAAAUUUUCACAAGGCUGCCUGCAAAAGCUAUAGGCCGUUUCAAAGGUCUUUCCAAAUUUUAUCGUAACGAACUGUCAAAUGAUAAUUUUGAGAUUAUGCAUUCUCGGCGAAUUCUAAGUUCGCUACAAAAGAAGCUUCUCUCCUUAAAAGAUAACUCAAUUGUUGUUGAUAACAUAGUAGGCGGGAAUUUGCAAGCCGAUACAACCAAAACCUAUAAUUUCUCCAUUGAAUGUCCAUCCUUCUUUCUUACGUGUUAUAGCGUCCUUUAAAGGUCUGCUAUUAAUUUGCAAUGAAAGGUUUUGUUGUGAGCUCAUACUUUGGAAUCCAACAACAAGGCGCUUUAAAUUUUUGGCCGAUGACUACUUUGAUCGUAAUUUCGAGCGAAACGCUGAUACUGGUGGAAUGUACUUUGACGACUCGAACGAUCUCAAAGUUCUUCACAUCAGACGUUACCGUAAUGUUGUUAAUGCUCGAGUUUACUCACGUUGUCGUGAGUCAUGGAGAAUGAUAAAUUCAUUGAACGUAACUAAUUUUGCUUCAAUAUAUUACUCAUGGUCUCCCGGAAUUUAUUCGGGGAAAAACAUAUAUUUCAUGGUUUCCAAUUAUUGGUUUCAACCAGGUGAGAGACACAUAGUAGCUUUCGACGUUCUUUUCGAAACUUUCAGCACUCUUCCUUUUCCCGAGGUUUGGGAAGUGAAUCCUUGGCAAGGACAUUUUUUGAGCAUUGCAAUGAAGCUGCAUGUGAUUGUUGUUGGACGUAAGCUAUUUGUUGAUUUGUUCAAAUUUGAAGAUUAGGCUUGGAUCAAGGUGUUUUCUUUCAAUACGCCUCAUAUUGUUGAUUAUCUUGAAAGGCGUCGAAGGACUAAUAUAAUUUAAGACAACAAGUGGCUCAUAACAAGCAUUUGGGGUGAUAUUGUUGAAGUUGACCUUUGCAACGAAUCUUUCAAGUACCUCGAACAUGUUGAUGACUACACUGGUCCGAAAGGAGCCUUAUUUUUCGAGACCACUAUGUCGCCUAUAGUUUAGAAAUUUUUAUUUUAUUGUUUCAAGUUUUUUUAUAUUAUAUCCUUCUUAACUUGAAUAACUA